rnacentral:rRNA from 1 species
CCCUUAGAUGUUCUGGGCUGCACGCGUGCUACAAUGGCGUUUCCAGCAAGUCUGCGAACCCGAGAGGGCCAGCGGAUCUUCGAAUUGGCGUCGUGAUCGGGACAGUCGAUUGCAAUUAUUUGACUCAAACGAGGAAUUCCUUGUAAUCGCGAUUCAUCAUAUCGCGCUGAAUACGUCCCUGCCCUUUGUACACACCGCCCGUCGCUCCUACCGAUUGAGCGAUCCGGUAAAUGUUUUGGAUUGGUGCCGGGGCGGCUAGCUGCCGGUCGCUACGAAAGUUUGUGAACCUUAUCGCUUAGAGGAAGGAAAAGUCGUAACA